rnacentral:lncRNA from 1 species
AACCUGACACUGUUCAGCUUUUUUAUCUUUUACCAGUAUUUGGGGACUUAUUGGGGAUUCCUUUGAUAAUUUCAGGAAGAAAGAAGUGGAAUGGAAGGAGCCAGUAACUGUCCCAGGUCAGAAAACGCCUCUGAAAAGGAUCUACAUUACACCCAAAGUUCAUUGGAUAACUGCACCCUCAACAAUCAGGUAUAAAACUGCUGUUUAAUUACCCGAUAUUAUCCAUACUUUUAGAAUGAGAGUGUGCAUUUUAAAGUUAUGCAAACAUAACUUUCAUAUUUGGUCUAAUUGUUGGCUGUUUUGUUCAUUCCAGGAGACAAUAAGUGGUGUAGACAGAGCUAAUAUCUCCAAAUCAGAGCUAAUAUCCCCAAAUCAGAUGGUACCUCUGAAGACAUUCAGCAUUCCACAGACUGUUCACAGGUUGAGACUUUCCACAUUCAGGAGACAAUAAGUGGUACGAACCAAGCCAGUAACUGCCCCAAAUCAGAUGGUGCCUCUGAAGACAAUCAGCAUUGCACAGACAGUCCACAGCAUGACAGUAUCUUCCACAUUCAGGAGACAAUAAAGGGUACGAACCAAGCCAGUAACUGCCCCAAAUCAGAUGGUGCCUCUGAAGACAAUCAGCAUUGCACAGACAGUUCACAGCAUGACAGUAUCUUCCACAUUCAGGAGACAAUAAAGGGUACGAACCAAGCCAGUAACUGCCCCAAAUCAGAUGGUGCCUCUGAAGACAAUCAGCAUUGCACAGACAGUUCACAGCAUGACAGUAUCUUCCACAUUCAGGUAUGAAACUGCUCUUUUUUAUGUGUUUUAAUUACAAUAUACAUUUAGUCCCCACAAUGUGCAAUGUGCAUGAUAUAUGUGAAGUCCCCAUAAAGUAUUGUGUAUCACAAAUGUUUAUGAAAGAUUCACAAGACUCAGGAUGAGAAGUGCUGCACCUCCCCCACUAUGUCCCCACAUUGUCUUCUAAAAAAAAAUCUCUACACUAUGUCCACACACUACACCUAUUUUGAUCUAUUAGGAUUUUGUAACAAAAUUAAUUAAUUUUAAU